rnacentral:rRNA from 1 species
GAUGAACGCUGGCGGCGUGCCUAAUACAUGCAAGUCGAGCGAACAGAUGAGGAGCUUGCUCCUCUGACGUUAGCGGCGGACGGGUGAGUAACACGUGGAUAACCUACCUAUAAGACUGGGAUAACUUCGGGAAACCGGAGCUAAUACCGGAUAAUAUAUUGAACCGCAUGGUUCAAUAGUGAAAGACGGUUUUGCUGUCACUUAUAGAUGGAUCCGCGCCGCAUUAGCUAGUUGGUAAGGUAACGGCUUACCAAGGCAACGAUGCGUAGCCGACCUGAGAGGGUGAUCGGCCACACUGGAACUGAGACACGGUCCAGACUCCUACGGGAGGCAGCAGUAGGGAAUCUUCCGCAAAGGGCGAAAGCUUGACGGAGCAACGCCGCGUGAGUGAUGAAGGUCUUCGGAUCGGAAAACUCUGUUAUUAGGGAAGAACAAAUGUGUAAGUAACUAUGCACGUCUUGACGGUACCUAAUCAGAAAGCCACGGCUAACUACGUG